rnacentral:tRNA from 1 species
GUAUUCUACUUAAAACUAUUCUCUGC